GACGAACGCUGGCGGCGUGCCUAACACAUGCAAGUCGAACGGAAAGGCCCUGCUCUUGUAGCGUGCUCGAGUGGCGCACGCGUGUGUAUCACGCGUGUAACCUCUCCUUGUCUUUGGGAUAACUCCAGGAAACUGGGGCUAAUAUCGGAUAUGAGCUCCUGCUGCAUGGUGGUGGUUGGUAAGUUUCGGCGUUUCGGGAUGGAGUCGCGGCCUAUCAGCUUGUUGGUGGGGUAGUGGCUUACCAAGGCUUUGACGGGUAGCCGGCCUGAGAGGGUGACCGGCCCCAUUGGGACUGAGAAAGGACCCAGACUCCUACGGGAGGCAGCGGUGGAAAUUAUUGCGCAAUGGGCGGAAGCCUGAUGGAGCAACGCCGCGUGCGGGAUGACGGCCUUCGGGUUGUAAACCGCUUUCGCCUGUGACGAAGAGUGAGUGACGGUAAUGAGUAAAGAAGCACCGGCUAACUACGUG
rnacentral:rRNA from 1 species